UUGGUGUGGUUGUCGCUGGCCUUCUUGGGGGCAUGUGCACACCUACCAUCCUCAUCUCUCCACCUGUGCACCUCUUGUAGACUUGGAAUUGAUUAUCCGAGGCAACUCGGUCGUGAGGAAUGCUAGCACUUAGCUAGCUUUCUUUGCAUUUCCAGGUCUAUGUUUUUCAUAUACCCCAUUGUAUGUAACAGAAUGUAUCAUUGGGCCCUUGUGCCUAUAAACCUUAUACAACUUUCAGCAACGGAUCUCUUGGCUCUCGCAUCGAUGAAGAACGCAGCGAAAUGCGAUAAGUAAUGUGAAUUGCAGAAUUCAGUGAAUCAUCGAAUCUUUGAACGCACCUUGCGCUCCUUGGUAUUCCGAGGAGCAUGCCUGUUUGAGUGUCAUUAAAUUCUCAACCUUUAUCAACUUUUGUUGAUAAUGGCUUGGAUGUGGGGGUCUAUUUUGCUGGCUUCACAGAUAGUCAGCUCCCCUUAAAUGCAUUAGCCGGUGCCCCGCGUGGACUGUCUAUUGGUGUGAUAAUUAUCUACGCUAUGGACAUCUGCAAUCAUAUGGGUUUGCACUGCUUCCAAUAGUCUGUUGAUUCAGACAAUACAUGACAAUUUGACCUCAAAUCAGGUAGGACUACCCGCUGAACUUAAGCAUAUCAAUAAGCGGAGGAAAAGAAACUAACAAGGAUUCCCCUAGUAACUGCGAGUGAAGCGGGAAAAGCUCAAAUUUAAAAUCUGGCGGUCUCUGGCCGUCC
rnacentral:rRNA from 1 species